rnacentral:misc_RNA from 1 species
AUCGAUAAGUACUUUUUAUGAGUGUUUGUGCCUAUUAAAACUAAUACCUACUCACUCUUACUUUGUUUGGUAAAAUGAAACAGUUGUGUCUGUGACAUAUUAAGUAAUCAAGAUAAUUUAAUUUAAAAUACCUAGUUGGUUUUAUUAAAUAAAAUUUAUUUCAUUUUAUUGGCUGUUGGUUGUCGGAACAAGGGGCACAAAAUGGUGCAAGAUGAAUUAUUAUCACCAUGGAGCAGACAAAAGUCUAUUAGUUUCAUCGUUCUAACAGUGUUGUUUGUUGUUUGGGCUUGCAUAUUCUUUCCAUUGUUAUUAAGGCAGCAGUCGAAUGACGAUAUGGACAAUAUGGAUAUGAAGUCGACCACAAUGGGUUCGACGGAAAUGACGGGAAUGUCGUCGACCACAAAGGACAUGGUCCACGAUCAUCAUCAUCGUUAACUACAAAAACUAUUUAUAUUUAUAUUUAAAGAAAUAUACUAAACAUAUUUUUAUUACGAGAUGUAUGUGAAUUAUUGUAAAGUUUUGUACUGUAUUGUAUAUCUUUAGUACUUAAGCACUUAUUGACCAAAUAAAUAGUUGUAUUAUA